GAACCUGAGAGUUUGAUCCUGGCUCAGAACGAACGCUGGCGGCAUGCCUAACACAUGCAAGUCGAACGAAGGCUUCGGCCUUAGUGGC
rnacentral:rRNA from 1 species